ACAGGGAUUGCCCUAGUAACGGCGAGUGAAGCGGCAACAGCUCAAAUUUGAAAUCUGGCGUCUUUGGCGUCCGAGUUGUAAUUUGCAGAGGGCGCUUUGGCAUUGGCAGCGGUCCAAGUUCCUUGGAACAGGACGUCACAGAGGGUGAGAAUCCCGUACGUGGUCGCUAGCCUUUACCGUGUAAAGCCCCUUCGACGAGUCGAGUUGUUUGGGAAUGCAGCUCUAAAUGGGAGGUAAAUUUCUUCUAAAGCUAAAUACUGGCCAGAGACCGAUAGCGCACAAGUAGAGUGAUCGAAAGAUGAAAAGCACUUUGGAAAGAGAGUUAAAAAGCACGUGAAAUUGUUGAAAGGGAAGCGCUUGCAGCCAGACUUGCCUGUAGUUGCUCAUCCGGGUUUCUACCCGGUGCACUCUUCUAUAGGCAGGCCAGCAUCAGUUUGGGCGGUUGGAUAAAGGUCUCUGUCAUGUACCUCCUCUCGGGGAGAACUUAUAGGGGAGACGACAUGCAACCAGCCUGGACUGAGGUCCGCGCAUCUGCUAGGAUGCUGGCGUAAUGGCUGUAAGCGGCCCGUCUUGAAACACGGACCAAGGAGUCUAACAUCUAUGCGAGUGUUUGGGUGUCAAGCCCGAGCGCGUAAUGAAAGUGAACGGAGGUGGGAACCUUUCGGGGUGCACCAUCGACCGAUCCUGAUGUCUUCGGAUGGAUUUGAGUAAGAGCAUAGCUGUUGGGACCCGAAAGAUGGUGAACUAUGCUUGAAUAGGGUGAAGCCAGAGGAAACUCUGGUGGAGGCUCGCAGCGGUUCUGACGUGCAAAUCGAUCGUCAAAUUUGGGCAUAGGGGCGAAAGACUAAUCGAACUAUCUAGUAGCUGGUUCCUGCCGAAGUUUCCCUCAGGAUAGCAGUAACGUUUUCAGUUUUAUGAGGUAAAGCGAAUGAUUAGAGGCCUGGGGGUUGAAACAACCUU
rnacentral:rRNA from 1 species